AAAAGAAGUAUGGAAGGCAGGGGUAGCAAGGCGGAGCUGUGACCUGUCACAGCACGCAGAGAAUGCCCAUGGAUUUUCACAAAUGCUGGUAAAAUGUGAAAAGCAGGUGUUUCUUUUUUCUUCAAUCUGAGCUUCAAGCUAAUAUGGGCACUCAACUAAAUCCCUCCCGGGUCCUGAAACAGUAUGCGGUUUUGGAUUUCAAAGAUAAUCCCUACAUCUUCUGGGAGAGGUGCAAGUAUCAAACAGUUGGAGACACAAGGAAAGGGUGGUAUAAUGCAGAAAGUGACUUGAACAAAUUUACACAGAAGGCAGUGAAGUGUGAUUCAAAUUCAAGCAGUCUAGACUGUGCCCCACACAACUCUGCAGCAUAACCUUGCAGUAUGAAAAUGAUGCCUCUCAUGCAGAUACAAGUCUGACAGGAAAACCACUGCUGCUUCUGCUGCCAAUUUGUUAAGCAUCGUGACAAGAGGAGUGACCGAGAAGAUGGAAAAGCCCAGUCUGCCUAGUGCCCCUUCAGUCGGCAGGAUUGCUGGCACAGGGCCGUCUAGCUGUGCUGGAAGGUGUUUCAGAAGGGGGCAAGUGGCACUUUGGGGAGAGGAGUCAUGGAUCUCCUGGCUUGGCCAUGAUUCAGCUUUUGGAGAUUUCAUUUAGAAUCUGUGAUCUUUCCCAUAGUCUUCCUAAAAGGUAUUGCCCUUCCUGGCCCCUGCAAUAUAGCAGGGAUGGGUUUUCAACAAAGCAAAUAGAGGACUGAUUUUCACAAGAUCUGAACCUCGAGGAGCAGAUUGUCAACCUUUCUUCUCUGCUCAGGACAAAGACAAGAUCACAGACCAUUUUUAAAACUUCUAUGUUUCCAGAGUCUCCCUGUAAAGACUACAAUCCUUUCUCUAGGGGUUCACACAGUGUAUUCUACUCAAGAGGCACAGGGGAGUUUAAAAACAUGCAUAUUCCUGAGUUCAACUCUUAGAUUUUAAUUUUGCAGUUGGUGGUAGAGUUCAGCAUUUCUCCUUCCUGCCAUCAUGUGAAGAUGGACGUCUUUGCUUUCCCUUCAGCCAUAAUUAUAAGUUUCCUGAGGCCUCCCUAGCCCUGCAGAACUAGUUACCAAAAGCAAGGAAAGUUUGAGAAGCUAUCACAGCCAAGAGGGGCCUAAAGAGACAUGAUAAACAAAUAAAAUGGUGAAUCCUGGAUGCAAUCCUGGAAAAACAACAAAGCGACAUUAGAUUAUGUCUUCUUUUAUAAGACUACCCACUGCCUUUUCUCAAGUAUAUCUGAAGUAUGGCUGGUUGGAGUAUAUCAGGACCCUCAGAGGGGAAAAGCACAUGAAACCAGCACACCUGAACCCAG
rnacentral:lncRNA from 1 species